CACCUGAGGAAAUAAAGUUUAGAAAAUCAGUUUUAUCCUGGUUGCACUUUUUUAAACAGGGGAAGGUGGAAGAUACGAAAAGGACCUAUUAUACAUAAAAGAAAAAAAUAAUAGGGUGACAAAAAAUUACUAUACUGUACAUUAUACAUAAACAGCAAUUCAUGUAUAUUGUGGUCAGACGUGUGUUUGUAUUUGAAUUUAUGGCUGCUUGAUUAUGGGUAAAAAUCAUAUUCACGUUUAUUCUGUUCAAUAUUGAAAUCAUGAUUAUUUACACGAUUAAGUUUUUAAGAUUGAAAAAGCAUUUAUUGAACAUGUUUGGAACAGUAUUUAUUGAACAUGUUUAAAUAAGACUCUCCUGUUAACAGUGUUGGAAAACUUAAUUUUUGCCAAAAACUAUUUCAAAGUUCAGUUCACAAAUUUUAAAAGGAACUUGUUCAGUUCAUAAUUGAGAUUUCAUGAACUAAGUUUAUGGUUCCAAAAAUGAAAAGUUUAUGGUUCUUUUCUUCCCCCAAUUAAUAAAAGGUUGCUUUGAGCACUUACCCUCUGGCAUUUUCUCAUUUUCAUCCAUUCCUUUCACACUAAUAUCUAGGUGCUAUCACCUUAAAUACCUAUCUUAAAUACAAGAGAAAAUUGCUUGAAUUCUGUUUUUCUUUAAUAAGUUGAAACAAAAACAUGUCUGUGGUCCAGAACACACACACAGAACACAAACAGUCUGCUGUAGGGGCCAAAACUCAGGUUGGAAAUGAAGCAUGUACAAAUUAAGUAUUCAAUGUGCAAAACAAAAAUUAGAUUUGGUUUAUCUAGAUGUGUUUUGCGGGGUUUUAUUUUGAAGUCUAAGAAGAGAAAAACUGGCAUCCUUGAACAAAAGUAAACUGCUGUUCAAAACCAUUCCAUGGCCCCAAAAUGAGCGUGUUCACAAAAACGUCCACAGAGCAAAAAUGCGCUAUGUUGAGUUAAUGUUCGUCCAAAAUAUUUUAGUGAGUUCAUGAAAAUUCCAUUCAUGGAAUGCGUUAAGGCAGUGGUCCCCAAACACCGGGCCACGGACCGGUACCGGUCCGUGGGUCACUUGGUACCGGGCCGCCAAGCUGCACAGAAAAAAAAAUUUUUUAUCGACGAUCAAUUAAUUCAGGUCAAGACACUCGUCCCGGUCACGUGACAUGUUUCCCCAGUCGAGCCAGCAAAGCUAAUAUGUGGCGACAGGCUAACUAACCAGGCAAUGAAGCAUUCAAAACUGCUUCAACACAUGGAGACCAAGCAUCCUGCAAUAAAAGACAAACCUUAAUCACUUCGGGUGUCAUUGUCUCCAAUUACCUCUAGAUGGGACCGGCUCGUUUCUGAGAAACAAACUCAGUGCUCCCACUAAUUCAACGUAAUGGUGAGUUUUAUUUUUGUCAUUUGUACUUGUUUUUAUGUUAGUCGUAUCAUUUUAUUUCAUCGUAUUUAUAUAUUUAUUAUAAAUGUAUUAUUUCAUUAUAUAAAUGUAUUAUUUAUUUAUAUAAAUGCCGGUCCGCAAAAAUAUUUCUGACAUGUAACCGGUCCGUGGCGCAAAAAAGGUUGGGGACCACUGCGUUAAGGUACAACAUUGCCUGUUAAAUAUGGCCUGGAUCUCCACUCUCCACACAUGUGGGGGUGUUGCGGUUGAGUUGCGCAUGCACGUCUCAGAACGGAAACACCAAAUAAUUGUUUGUCGUUGAUUAUAUGAAUUUUGAGAUUGUCUGGAGCCAAAAUUGUGAUUAUAAUUAUAAUAAUGAGCAGCCCUAAUUUUAAUGCAGCUUGUUUCGCCAAACGCAAGAGGUGUCAGUGUUUAAUGUCAUGUUCUCAUUAUGACCUUUUUGAACCACAAAGGUUUUUAUGAGUUAUUACAGAUAACACUAUUAUCAUUUUAAGUUAGCCAUCACUUGAUAGUUGGAGACCCGACUUGCCAGAUGCAUCCUCACUGCAACACACCUGAUUCAAAUCAUAAGAAUUGCUAUCAGGCUUUUAUAGCGCUUGCUGGUCAGGUGAUCAUUAAAUCAGGUGUGUUGUAGUAGGGCUGCACCUAAAAUGGGCUGGAUAGGCGGCCUUGAGGACCGGAGUUGGUGAGCCCUGUUUCAAAGGCUUCAAAAAGCUGGCAAAAGACUUUUCCCCUGUGACUGAAUUACCUGUGCUAAGCUGUGUGUGUCUGUUUACGGACAAGUAAGAGUAAAGAGUAGCAUUUUAAUGUGAGAUAAGCAUAGGGAACGACGUGCCAUAAAAGCAAUUUCUGUAAUGCACCACCUUCUGGCUGUUGUUUGUUUGGCUAACAGAGAUUCCCAAACCAUUGCUGGCAGCAGACGGCUGACUUAUCCUGGUGGACGGAUCCCCUGCGUCAAGGCCCUCAAGUUUCACGCAUGACCAUCUUUCCCACUCUGAGGAAGCCCCUUGGAAACCUCUGACAAGACACCACUAAAACUGUUCAUAAUACAUAUCCAGUCACUACGGUUUGUAAAGAGAGGGGUGAAUUUGUGCCAGUGCCAAAUGACAUACUAGCUGUUGUGAAAGUGGUAUACAAAUAAAAACGAUAUGUUAGUGGGUUUGAUAGGCAAGAUUGUAAGCCACGAGCAACACCAUGUGAACCAAAGCUUAACUAUUGAUCUGAUCUGAAGAAAUAUACAGAGGUUGUGGGUAGCUUGAUGUACUUAUCAACAUGUACCAGACCAGAUCUGAGCUACAUAGUGAGGAAAGCUACCCAAUAUCUUUCCAAACCAACUAUGGAAUAACGGGCUACAGUAAAACAUGUACUAAGGUACUUAAAGGGUGCAAAGUACUAAGUUACUUAAAGGGUGCAAAGGAAAAGAUACAAAAAGAGUGACAAUGAGCCACUUGGGUUGGGAGCAUUCAGUGAUGCAAACUGGGCAGAACACGGUACUGACAGACGUAGUACUUCAGGUUAUUGUCAGCUUAAGCCAAUUUGGUCCCGUGAUUUCAUGGAAAACCAAAAGACAAGCAACGGUAGCUAUUUUAACGUGUGAAGCUGAAUACAUGGCCUUAGCUGUCCUUUAUGCUAUGCCUUAGCUAACUAUACAUGUCUGUAUUUAGUUCAACUGUUAGAUGGUAUUGAUGGGUAUCAUUACAGGCAGCCAAAGGUUCACAGACAACCAAGGAGCUAAAAAUACUGUGCAAAGACAUUGAUGGAAACAUGUUGACAUAAAAUAUCAUUUUGUAAGCUCAACUGUUAACGAUGGCAAAGUAAACGUCUGUCCAACAGAACAAAUGGUGGCAGAUAUCAAAAUCUAAAUUGAUUACUUUUGUGGCAUUUAUAUUUGGAGUGUAAUGAGAUUUAUGUUUAUGAAAUGUGUUAAUCAGAUGAAGAAUUUUUCGGUACGUAAAUUUGGAAAGUAAUGAGAUUUAUGAAAUGUAUUUAUCAGAUGAUGAAUUUUGUGGUACUUCUGUUUGAAGAGUAAUGAGAUUUAUGUUUAUGAAAUGUGAAUAACAUUGAGAAUAUCAAUUCUAUUUAUAUUUGAUCAUUUUUAGAUUGUAUUUAUAUUUAUAUUUUCAUAUAUUUUAUAUAUUUUUAUUUUGCAUUAUCUACCAAUAUGAGAGCAAGUGGGGCUGUUAGUAUAUGUGCGCUAUACUUUGGGGCUUUUAUUUUGGCGUAUGCUACACAGGAAGUAUUGCUUUUAUUGUUUUCGUUUAACAAAUGUGCUCAAUAAAAAACAGGUGCCGUCAAUCAGUUGAUUAGCACUGGCAAACCAAAGUAAACUCUGUUGGUGUUCUUUCUGUUCUGUCUGUCUCCACAGUAUUAAUGUUUUAUUGAAAUAACAAUUUGUGCCAGUGCCAAAUGACAUACUACGCUAUAGCUGUUGUGAAAGCGCUAUAUAAAUGAAAAUGUAUUGUUGUAUUUUAUUAAUUGUCACACACACAGCAUAUACAGUAGAAUCUACUACUGUAGAUUUUGUUUGACAGGGGUGUCAAACUCUUUUUUUUUU